rnacentral:rRNA from 1 species
GACGAACGCUGGCGGCGUGCUUAACACAUGCAAGUCGAACGGAAAGGCCCUGCUUUUGUGGGUUUCUCGAGUGGCGAACGGGUGAGUAACACGUGAGUAACCUGCCCUUGACUUUGUGAUAACUUCAGGAAACUGGGGCUAAUACCGGAUAGGAGCUCCUGCUGCAUGGUGGGGGUUGGAAAGUUUCGGCUUUUGGGGAUGGACUCGCGGCGUAUGAGCUAGUUUGUAUGGUAGUGGCUUACCAAGGCUUUGACGGGUAGCCGGCCUGAGAGGGUGACCGGCCACGCUGGAACUGAGACACGGUCCAGACUCCUACGGGAGGCAGCAGUAGGGAAUCUGCCGCAAGGGGCGAAAGCCUGACGGAGCAACGCCGCGUGAGUGAUGAAGGUCUUCGGAUCGUAAAACGCUGUUAUUAGGGAAGAACAAAUGUGUAAGUAACUAUGCACGUCUUGACGGUACCUAAUCAGAAAGCCACGGCUAACUACGUG